ACGAGAAAGGGCUCGACUACGAGUUCGUCCCGGUUAACAUGAGCAUGGUGAGCACAAGAAGGAGCCCUUCAUCUCUCUCAAUGUAAGCAGAACUAAACUCUAAAUGUCAUUUCUCAGAACCUGAAAAAUGUUAAACGUCAUUAAUGGAAAGCUAUACAAACCUUUUGCAGCCCUAUGGGCAAGUCCCAGCCUUUGAAGAUGGAGACCUCAAGCUCUUUGGUAAAACUCUUGCUUUUCUUGAAUCUGAGGAUCAUAAAUACUUCACGUAAGAGAAAUGUCGAUUUCAACAACAUAUCAAACUCUGUAAUAACUUGCAAUGCAGAAUCUAGGGCCAUAAAUCAAUACAUAGCACAUACCUAUGCCGACAGUGGGACUGAGUUCAUAUGCAAGGAUCAAAGAAAGAUGGCAACCGCCUUUGUUUGGUCGGAGGUGGAGAGUCAGAGAUAUGAACCUAUAGCCUUCAAGCUAACCUGGGAACUUGGUGUUAAACCAUUAUUGG
rnacentral:lncRNA from 1 species